GACGAACCGAGCGAACGUUGUUCGGAAUCACUGGGCUUAAAGGGCGCGUAGGCGGGCUGCCGCGUCCGGGGUGAAAUCCCACGGCUCAACCGUGGAACGGCCCCGGGUACGGGCGGCCUCGAGGGGGGUAGGGGCGUGCGGAACUGUGGGUGGAGCGGUGAAAUGCGUUGAGAUCCACAGGAACUCCGGUGGCGAAGGCGGCACGCUGGACCCCCACUGACGCUGAGGCGCGAAAGCCAGGGGAGCAAACGGG
rnacentral:rRNA from 1 species